GGAAGUGGAACAUUGGAAGAGUAACUGAGGUCUACCCAGGAGAAGACGGACAUGUGCGCAAUGUCAAGGUAACCACAGCUCAUGGAGAUUAUCGCCGACCAAUAACCAAGAUCGCAGUUAUUUACCCGGUUGAAGGAUAUGAGAACUGAUGAACUGGUCUGUGACAUCAACCUGUUUGUUAUGUGACUUCCUCGCAUAGGUGGGGAGGAUGUUUCGUCGAGUUUUGUUUAUUACGAACUGUCGCUUGAGGGCGCUAUAAUUGGCAACCGUUUUCCGAUAAACGCAUCAGUAACUGUAUUUCUCGAUAGCUUUACUGAUAUAAAAGGUUAUCUAAACUGCUUAAAUUUGUACUGAUACUGCUUAGAUUUACUGAUCGGCGAUUAGGGGGAUUACCGUUUUGAUUAACUGAACUGUAUGCUGUUUAUCUGGACUGAACUAUUAUUGCUGAACUGUUACUGAUCUGCUAGUUGUAUCCGGUCACAGAAAAUUGAAUGCUGAUUUAUUAAAAUCUUCAUACAUUAAACCCGGAUGCGACUCCAUUCUUUAAAUCCUCUGGCCUUCCAAUCUUCAAU